rnacentral:rRNA from 1 species
CCCUUAGAUGUCCGGGGCCGCACGCGCGCUACACUGAAGGAAUCAGCGUGGCUUUCUCCCUGACCCGAAAGGGUUGGGAAACCCGUUGAAUCUCCUUCGUGAUAGGGAUUGGGGCUUGAAAUUGUUCCCCAUGAACGAGGAAUUCCCAGUAAGCGCGAGUCAUAAGCUCGCGUUGAUUACGUCCCUGCCCUUUGUACACACCGCCCGUCGCUACUACCGAUUGAACGGUUUAGUGAGGGCCUCGGAUUGGUCUCGGCCCGCUCUUUACCGGGCGGCGCCGUUGGUCGAGAAGACGCUCGAACUUGAUCGUUUAGGGGAAGUAAAAGUCGUAACA